rnacentral:rRNA from 1 species
GGGGCUAGCGUUGCUCGGAAUCACUGGGCGUAAAGGGCGCGUAGGCGGACUCUUAAGUCGGGGGUGAAAGCCCAGGGCUCAACCCUGGAAUUGCCUUCGAUACUGAGAGUCUUGAGUUCGGAAGAGGUUGGUGGAACUGCGAGUGUAGAGGUGAAAUUCGUAGAUAUUCGCAAGAACACCGGUGGCGAAGGCGGUCUGCUGGGCAGUUGCUGACGCUGAUGCGCGACAGCGUGGGGAGCAAACAGG